AAGUUUCAAUGUGUAUUUUACAAAUCUACAGUUUAUUUUUUCAUACUUAACAAUCUGCCAAUGUUUAUAUCUAAUCCACAAAAGUGAAGGUUAAUUAAGGUACUGAUAAUGAUUAAGUAUACUAAACGUUUAUUUAAAAAAAUAUAGUAUUCUAGAUAGUAAGAUGGCAAAUUACCUCACUGUAUUAACAAACAAAACAAAUAAUAAUUAGAUAGGGACGUCAUGAAUACAAGGUUGUAGUAAGGUCUAUUUCAAAGUUCAUGUUAUGUGAAUAAAUUUAAAGGAAAACUGACAUUGUUUUACUACAGAUUAUUAAAAUGGAUUUAAACAUAAAAGAAUGCAAAUUCAAUUUAGAUUUUAUGCAAUGUCAUGUAGUUAUGUCUGCAGCAAGCAAAGAAAAAAUAAAGCAAAUAUUAUGCAUAAAAUGCAGCUACUUCUCUUAAAAUAUUAAGUAGGAAAAACAUAUGUGCUAUCAUAUAGUUGUUACAUGCAUAUUACAUAUAAAUAUUACCUCAUCAGUGUUAUUAGCCUGUUGAAGAGUGUAUUCUCUAACUACAGAUGGGGAAUACUCCACUAUGUAUUGCCGGUAGAAUUCCUAAAUUAGUUAGUGUCUUAUAGAAUGUCUCUUUUGCUUGAGGCUGUAAAUUUUGGGAGUAAUUACAAAAUUCCUUGAGAAACAGCACCAAG